rnacentral:miRNA from 1 species
CCCGUUCUGGAUGCUGUGGGAC